rnacentral:rRNA from 1 species
ACGAACGCUGGCGGCGUGCCUAACACAUGCAAGUCGAACGAGGUUGAUCUGGUGGCAACACCAGUGACUACCUAGUGGCGAACGGGUGAGUAACACGUGAGGAACCUGCCCCGAAGACCGGGAUAACCCUCCGAAAGGAGAGCUAAUACCGGAUACCCCCAUUGGAUCGCAUGAUCCGAUGAGGAAAUGGAUUCCGCUUCGGGAGGGCCUCGCGGCCUAUCAGCUAGUUGGUGGGGUAACGGCCCACCAAGGCAUCGACGGGUAGCUGGUCUGAGAGGACGAUCAGCCACACUGGGACUGAGACACGGCCCAGACUCCUACGGGAGGCAGCAGUGGGGAAUCUUGCGCAAUGGGCGAAAGCCUGACGCAGCAACGCCGCGUGGGGGAUGAAGGCUCUCGGGUUGUAAACCCCUUUCAGCAGGGACGAAUCAAGACGGUACCUGCAGAAGAAGCCCCGGCUAACUACGU